rnacentral:tRNA from 2 species
GCCGCGGUGGUGAAAUUGGUAGACACAGGAGACUCAAAAUCUCCCGCCCAAAAGGUGUGACGGUUCGAGUCCGUCCCGCGGCA